rnacentral:rRNA from 1 species
AUGAACGCUGGCGGCGUGCCUAAUACCUGCCAGUCGCGCGAACAGACGAGGAGCUUGCUCCUCUGACGUUAGCGGCGGACGGGUGAGUAACACGUGGAUAACCUACCUAUAAGACUGGGAUAACUUCGGGAAACCGGAGCUAAUACCGGAUAAUAUAUUGAACCGCAUGGUUCAAUAGUGAAAGACGGUUUUGCUGUCACUUAUAGAUGGAUCCGCGCCGCAUUAGCUAGUUGGUAAGGUAACGGCUUACCAAGGCGACGAUGCGUAGCCGACCUGAGAGGGUGAUCGGCCACACUGGAACUGAGACACGGACCAGACUCCUACGGGAGGCAGCAGUAGGGAAUCUUCCGCAAUGGGCGAAAGCCUGACGGAGCAACGCCGCGUGAGUGAUGAAGGUCUUCGGAUCGUAAAACUCUGUUAUUAGGGAAGAACAAAUGUGUAAGUAACUAUGCACGUCUUGACGGUACCUAAUCAGAAAGCCACGGCUAACUACGUG